rnacentral:rRNA from 1 species
GAUGAACGCUAGCGGCAGGCCUAAUACAUGCAAGUCGAGGGGCAGCAGAUUUGUAGCAAUACAGAAGCUGGCGACCGUCAAACGGGUGCGGAACACGUACGCCACCUUCCUUUAACUGGAAGCUAGCCCACCGCAAGGUGGAUUAUGAUGCCAUCACAUAUUGAAUAGGCAUCCCUCUGAUAUUAGCGCUCCGGCGGUCAAAGAUGGGCGUGGGUCGGAUUAGGUAGUUGGCAGGGUAACGGCCCACCAAGCCUUCGAGCGGUAGCUGAUGUGAGAGCAUGAUCAGCCACACGGGCACUGAGACACGGGCCCGACGCCUACGGGAGGCAGCAGUAAGGAAUAUUGGUCAAUGGACGCAAGUCUGAACCAGCCAUGACGCGUGGAGGAUGAAGGCCCUCUGGGUUGUAAACUUCUUUUCUUUGGGACGAAACCCCUGUUUCUACGGGGACUGACGGUACCAGAGGAAUAAGCACCGGCUAACUCCGUGCCAGCCGCCGCGGUAACAC